AUGUGCGCGAGUCAUUGGGACACGAUUAAACCUAAAGGCGAAAUGAAAGUGAAGGUCUGCCUUUUAGCGCAGACCGAGGGAGGAUGGGUGGUUUGCUCUCUGAAAUAUGUCUGUGGCCACCCCGCACUCCCGGGGCGUCUCGUUCUCAUUGCGAGGAGAGGCGCACCAAGAGCGUACACGCUGGGACCCGAAAGAUGGUGAACUAUGCCUGGUCAGGACGAAGUCAGGGGAAACCCUGAUGGAGGUCCGUAGCGAUUCUGACGUGCAAAUCGAUCGUCGGAACUGGGUAUAGGGGCGAAAGACUAAUCGAACCAUCUAGUAGCUGGUUCCCUCCGAAGUUUCCCUCAGGAUAGCUGGCGCUCGUUGCGUACGAGUUUCAUCCGGUAAAGCGAAUGAUUAGAGGCAUUGGGGUCGAAACGACUUCAACCUAUUCUCAAACUUUAAAUGGGUGAGAUCUCCGGCUUGCUCGAACUCAUGAAGCCGCGAGACUCGAAUCAGAGUGCCAAGUGGGCCAUUUUUGGUAAGCAGAACUGGCGCUGUGGGAUGAACCAAACGUCGAGUUAAAGCGCCUAAAUCGACGCUUAUGGGAUACCAUGAAAGGCGUUGGUAACUUAAGACAGCAGGA
rnacentral:rRNA from 1 species